UGAUUAUGGCUCAGAUUGAACGCUGGCGGAAUGCUUUACACAUGCAAGUCGAACGGCAGCAUAGAGAGCUUGCUCUCUGAUGGCGAGUGGCGAACGGGUGAGUAAUAUAUCGGAACGUGCCUAGUAAUGGGGAAUAACUAGCUGAAAGGUUAGCUAAUGCCGCAUACGACCUACGGGUGAAAGCAGGGGAUCUUCGGACCUUGCGUUAUUAGAGCGGCCGAUAUCUGAUUAGCUUGUUGGUGGGGUAAUGGCCUACCAAGGCGACGAUCAGUAGCUGGUCUGAGAGGACGAUCAGCCACACUGGAACUGAGACACGGUCCAGACUCCUACGGGAGGCAGCAGUGGGGAAUUUUGGACAAUGGGGGCAACCCUGAUCCAGCCAUUCCGCGUGAGUGAAGAAGGCCUUCGGGUUGUAAAGCUCUUUCGCAAGAGAAGAAAACUUGCUAUCUAAUAAAUAGUAAGUAUGACGGUAUCUGAC
rnacentral:rRNA from 1 species